GUCUAAGUAGUUUAAAAAAAAUUCAGGUUUGUGGUGCCUGAGAUAUGAAUAUUCAUUUUGGACA
rnacentral:tRNA from 1 species